rnacentral:rRNA from 1 species
AGGAUGAACGCUGGCGGCGUGCCUAACACAUGCAAGUCGAACGUCCUGUCUCGCAAGAGGCAGGGAGUGGCGGACGGGUGAGUACCACGUGGGUCAUCUACCGUGAGGUGAGGAAUACCGGCGAGAAAUCGCCGACAAGACCGCAUAGGCUCGAUGCAAGUCGAGCAAAGCUCUUUCGAGAGAGGGAGCGCCACACGAGGAGCCUGCGCCCGAUUAGCUAGCUGGUGGAGUAACGGUUCACCAGGGCGACGAUCGGUAGCUGGUCUGAGAGGACGAUCAGCCACACUGGGAUUGAGAACGGCCCAGACUCCUACGGGGGGCAGCAGUGAGGAAUUUUCGUCAAUGGGGCAACCCUGAACGAGCAACGCCGCGUGCAGGAAGAGGUUUUCGGAUCGUAAACUGCUUUUCUCGGGGAAGAGAAUGGACGGUACCCGAGGAAUCAGCCCCGGCUAACUACGUGCCAGCAGCCGC